AGGGAAUAUUGCACAAUGGAGGAAACUCUGAUGCAGCGACGCCGCGUGAGUGAUGAAGGACUUCGGUUCGUAAAGCUCUGUCGUAUGGGAAUAAGAAAGUGAAUGUACCAUGCAAGAAAGGAUCGGCUAACUUCGUGCCAGCAGCCGCGGUAAGACGAGGGAUCCUAGCGUUGUUCGGAAUCAUUGGGCGUAAAGCGGAUGUAGGUGGCUUUGUAAGUCAGGUGUGAAAGCCCCGGGCUCAACCCGGGAAGUGCAUUUGAUACUGCGAAGCUUGAGUGCUGGAGAGGUUACUAGAAUACCUGGUGUAGUGGUGAAAUACGUAGAUAUCAGGUGGAAUACCGGAGGCGAAGGCGGGUAACCAGCCAGACACUGACACUCAGAUCCGAAAGUGUGGGGAUCAAAC
rnacentral:rRNA from 1 species